rnacentral:lncRNA from 1 species
CCAACAGAACACAGACCAUCCCCAACAGAACACAGACCAUCCCCAACAGAACACAGACCAUCCCCAACAGAACACAGACCAUCUCCAACAGAACACAGACCAUCCCCAACAGAACACAGACCAUCCCCAACAGAACACAGACCAUCCCCAACAGAACACAGACCAUCUCCAACAGAACACAGACCAUCCCCAACAGAACACAGACCAUCUCCAACAGAACACAGACCAUCCCCAACAGAACACAGACCAUCCCCAACAGAACACAGACCAUCCCCAACAGAACACAGACCAUCUCCAACAGAACACAGACCAUCCCCAACAGAACACAGACCAUCCCCAACAGAACACAGACCAUCCCCAACAGAACACAGACCAUCUCCAACAGAACACAGACCAUCCCCAACAGAACACAGACCAUCCCCAACAGAACACAGACCAUCCCCAACAGAACACAGACCAUCCCCAACAGAACACAGACCAUCUCCAACAGAACACAGCGACCAUCUCUAACAGAACACAGACCAUCCCCAACAGAACACAGCGACCAUCUCUAACAGAACACAGACCAUCCCCAACAGAACACAGCGACCAUCUCUAACAGAACACAGACCAUCCCCAACAGAACACAGACCAUCCCCAACAGAACACAGACCAUCCCCAACAGAACACAGCGACCAUCCCCAACAGAACACAGCGACCAUCUCUAACAGAACACAGACCAUCCCCAACAGAACACAGACCAUCCCCAACAGAACACAGACCAUCCCCAACAGAACACAGACCAUCCCCAACAGAACACAGACCAUCCCCAACAGAACACAGACCAACCCCAACAGAACACAGACCAACCCCAACAGAACACAGACCAUCCUCAACGGAACACAGACCAUCAGUGAAGAGUACACAGCAUAAAAUAAUGAAGGAUCUCAAUUGCGUUUCCUUGGUUCCUUGCAUCCUCUCUCCUCGCCUCUUUUUCAAAACCCAUUGGAUUAGUUUAAAUUUAUUUUAUUUUUUAUUUAACCUUUAUUUAACUAGGCAAGUCAGUUAAGAACACAUUAUUAUUUUACAAUGACGGCCUACACCAUCAAAUCCCUCCCCUAACCCAGACGACGCUGGGCCAAUUGUGCGUCGCCCUAUGGGACUCCCAAUCCCGGCCGGUUGUGAUACAGCCUGGAUUCGACCCAGGGACUGUAGUGAAGCCUCUAGCACUGAAAUGCAGUGCCUUAGAUUGAUGCGCCACUCGGGAACCCGAGAAGGUGCGUCACUUGCCACCAACAGAUGGUGGCGAGGAACGAUGACAAGAGCAAUUAAUUAAUCAAUUAAGGAAAUGCUAUUUAAAUUUAAAGGUCAACAGGAGUUCUCCCUAUGAGCACAAGACGUUGAAAAUAUAUUUUUGGGGUUGAAAAGACUUAAAAAGACAUUGAAAAACAAGACAUCUUUCAACCAUAUUUUGCUGGUAUUUCUCUUCCUCAAACACCAAGACAAUACCAUCAUCAUAAUCGAUUCUGUUGAAUGGUUUUCCUUUGAGCCCGUCCAUUGGGUAAACACCUGGUUUAACCAGUACCAUUCCGCAGGUUGUGUCUAUUAAUAUUCAUCAUUGUACAGGUAUAAAAACAUACGUACGCAAGUAUAAAAGCGAUGAUCACUGCCACAACUUCCUCUUUCAACACAGAUCUCAGAUCAACCAACGCAGUAACACAGGUCCAAUGGCAGCCAUGGUGAAAUCUGAGCCUCUUGAUGGCAAUGGUGAUUCACUGUCAGAUCAAAAGAGUAAGAAGAUGAAGAUAACUGAGCCUAAUGAUAGCAUGUCUCCCAGUCCCUGCCGCUGAAAAACAUCACCACAACAUGAUGCUGCCACCACCACAGUGCUUCACCAUAGGGAUGGUGCCAGGUUUCCUCCAGAAGUGACGCAUGGCAUUCAGGCCAAAUAAUCUUUUUUCUCAUGGUCUGAGAGUUUUUAGGUGCCUUUUGGCAAACUCCAAGCUGGCUGUCAUGUGCCUUUUACUGAGGAGUGGCUUCCGUCUGGCCACUCUACCAUAAAUGCCUGAUUGGUUGAGUACUGCAGAGAUGGUUGUCCUUCUGGAAGGUUCUCCCAUCUCCAAAGAGGAACUCUAGAGCUCUGUCAGAGUGACCAUAGGGUUCUUGGUCACCUCCCCGACCAAGGCCCUUCUCCACCGAUUGCUCAGUUUGGCCAGGCGGCCAGCGCUAUGAAGAGUCUUGGUGGUUCCAAACUUCUUCCAUUUAAGAUUGAUGGAGGCCACUGUGUUCUCGGGGACCUUCAAUGCUGCAGAAAUGUUUUGGUACCCUUCCUAAGAUCUGUGCUUCGACACAAUUCUGUCUCAAUUUUGAGUCUCAUACCAAAGGGUCUGAAUACUUAUGUAAAUAAGGUAUUUCAGUAAUUUUUUUCUCAAUAAAUUUGCUAACAUU